rnacentral:rRNA from 1 species
UCUGGUAAUGAUGGCAGAGAGGUCACACCCGUUCCCAUACCGAACACGGAAGUUAAGCUCUCUAGCGCCGAUGUAGUUGGGACCUUGUCCCUGUGAGAGUAGGACGUUGCCAGGC